rnacentral:tRNA from 1 species
GAGUUGUUAUCCGCGGGGAAUGUUUGUCUUGAAAACAAAUAACGAGUGUUCGACUCACUCAGCAACUUA